AGUGGGGAAUAUUGCACAAUGGGCGAAAGCCUGAUGCAGCGACGCCGCGUGAGGGAUGACGGCCUUCGGGUUGUAAACCUCUUUCAGCAGGGAAGAAGCGAAAGUGACGGUACCUGCAGAAGAAGCGCCGGCUAACUACGUGCCAGCAGCCGCGGUAAUACGUAGGGCGCGAGCGUUGUCCGGAAUUAUUGGGCGUAAAGAGCUCGUAGGCGGCUUGUCACGUCGGUUGUGAAAGCCCGGGGCUUAACCCCGGGUCUGCAGUCGAUACGGGCAGGCUAGAGUUCGGUAGGGGAGAUCGGAAUUCCUGGUGUAGCGGUGAAAUGCGCAGAUAUCAGGAGGAACACCGGUGGCGAAGGCGGAUCUCUGGGCCGAUACUGACGCUGAGGAGCGAAAGCGUGGGGAGCGAACAGGAUUAGAUACCCUGGUAGUCCACGCCGUAAACGGUGGGCACUAGGUGUGGGCGACAUUCCACGUCGUCCGUGCCGCAGCUAACGCAUUAAGUGCCCCGCCUGGGGAGUACGGCCGCAAGGCUAAAACUCAAAG
rnacentral:rRNA from 2 species